AUGCCAGUUGUACCGAGGGAACUCGCUGAGCACACUCUUAACGUUGAUCCUAAGUUUAAACCGGUCCGGCAGUUUCUCCGCCGCUUCAAUGAAGAAAGGUGCAAGGCUAUUGGUGAAGAGGUAGCUCGGUUGUUGGCCGCAGGGUUUAUCAUGGAGGUUUUUCACCCAGAGUGGUUGGCUAAUCCGGUGCUGGUUCUUAAGAAGAAUGGUACUUGGCGUAUGUGUGUGGAUUACACAGACUUGAACAAAGCUUGCCCUGCAGACCCCUUUGCCCUCCCUCAUAUUGAUCAGAUCAUUGAUACUACAGCGGGUUGUGACUGUUUGUGUUUUCUGGACGCUUAUUCUGGUUAUCAUCAGAUCAAAAUGGCAGUUAAGGACCAGGAGAAGACAGCUUUCAUAACUCCCUUUGGAGCCUUCUGCUAUGUCUCCAUGCCCUUUGGGCUCAAAAGUGCCCAGGUGACUUAUCAUGCUGUGUUCAAAAUUGUCUUCAUAAGCAGAUUGGGCGCAAUGUUCAUGCGUAUGUGGAUGAUAUUGUGA
rnacentral:rRNA from 1 species